rnacentral:lncRNA from 1 species
AUGCCAAAGAGCAGUCCUGACAUCUUGGCCUUGUUUUUCUUUCUGCUCUUCCAUGUGUGUAUCUUAUUACAUGGAAGUAUGCUGAGAGGUCGUUUGCCAUGUAAAAAUGUGAUGAAAAUUGAAGGAAGACUUCGGAUUUUGGCCCCAGUUCUUCUACAUUUUUUUUCCUAUGUAGAAGUCUUUACAGCACAGCCAGAAGAGAAUGUGGAAACAGCUGAAAAAUCUGCGACAGAGCAAGUCAAAAGGGAGUUAAAAUUACACAGGAUGCUUGUGAAGAAAAUGUGGUCAGCUGUGAACCUCAGACUUGAUCUCUUAAGUGAACUGAGAUGCACGAGGUGA